UACAGAGGGGGCAAGCGUUAUUCGGAAUUAUUGGGCGUAAAGGGCGCGUAGGCGGUGCGGUGCGGUUUCGGUGAAAUCCCUCGGCCCAACCGAGGAACAGCCGGGGCUACGGCCGCGCUAGACGGCAUCAGGGGACAGUGGAACUCCCGGUGGAGCGGUGAAAUGCGUAGAUAUCGGGAGGAACGCCGGUGGCGAAAGCGACUGUCUGGGGUGCCUGUGACGCUGAGGCGCGAAAGCCAGGGGAUCAAACGGG
rnacentral:rRNA from 1 species